rnacentral:rRNA from 1 species
AGCAGCCGCGGUAAUUCCAGCUCCAAUAGCGUAUAUUAAAGUUGUUGCAGUUAAAAAGCUCGUAGUUGAAUUUCGAGAUCAGUACGCUGGUCGUGCCUUCGGUAUGUACUGGUGUCACUGGUUUCUCCCUUCUGAAGAACCGUUAUGUCAUUAAGUUGGUGUGGCGGGGAAUCAGGACUGUUACUUUGAAAAAUUAGAGUGUUUAAAGCAGGCUCGCGCUUGAAUACAUUAGCAUGGAAUAAUGAAAUAGGACGUUUGACCCUAUUUUGUUGGUUUCUAGGAUCGACGUAAUGAUUAAUAGGGAUAGUUGGGGGCAUUAGUAUUCAAUUGUCAGAGGUGAAAUUCUUGGAUUUAUUGAAGACUAACUACUGCGAAAGCAUUUGCCAAGGAUGUUUUCAUUAAUCAAGAACGAAAGUUAGGGGAUCGAAGACGACCAGAUACCGUCGUAGUCUUAACCAUAAACUAUGCCGACUAGGGAUCGGAUGAUGUUAAUUUUUAAUGUACUCA